GGGACGCUUAAAUCCAUCCAGCCGUCGUCAACCGCACCACCGCUAUCGACGGCAGCUGCUUUGUCCAGCAAA
rnacentral:ribozyme from 1 species